rnacentral:lncRNA from 1 species
GUUCGAAUCAAAUCUGAACAUGAAAGACUCAUUAUGCUUUAUGAAAAUCCUUUGAAAAACCAUGCAAUCCUUAAGACGUGGUAUUCAUCCUAAAUGAAAUUACAAUUAUUAAUCACAAGAAGCCAGCGUCAAUUUCAGGGAACAUUCCGACCAAAAUUGCAUCAAAUUACUUUUCUAAAGAUCCUAAUAGUGAUCAGGCAUUAAGACAAUUAGAUAGUUUUUAUCCCUGUGAUUAACAAUUCAAAGUAUGCAUGCAAUCAAUCAUAAGCAAUUAAAUAAAAAUCACAUAUUCAUGCUAAGGCUCAAGGCUUCGCCCUAGCAAUAGAAAUUAGUUACUCAUAUUCAUAAUUAAAACCAUAGAAAAUAUAUUUAAGAAAAUGAUUGAAAGCACCUUCAAGUAGAAAAUCUUCAAAACCCUAGCAAUUCUCUCCGUCUCCAAAAUUGCAUAGAACGCUUACCGAAAAAAAAUGUGGUAGACGGCUCAGCAAUAUAUUUUCUAAACCACCACACAAACCCUAAUCCCCAUAAAAAAAAAAAAAAACAUAACCCUAAAUUAAAAUGGUAAAAUUCGUCUAAAAUCUAAACAGCCACGUUUUAGACCCAUAAGCUGCUCCAAAACUGGCCCAAUAUAGCUGGAUUUAAUAUUUGGAAUAUUCUGAACACUUCUCCAGAAUGCCACGAACCCAUCUGAGGUCAUCUUAAGCUCCAAAAACGCAAUUUAAGCCCAAAAACGUCAUUUUCCAGCACUGCGCAUCGCUCCUUUAUUUUAUCGCCAGAAAAUAACCGCUUGGUGGAAAAAUCCCAAAUUUUGAUACGAUCAAGCUAAGUGACUUACGAACGUCCUCCAACUGAAAUUACUUCAAAAUUUGUCCAUUUGGUCCUGUUUUACUCCAGAGGAAGUUGAAAGUUCUAUAUUGAAAAUACAAUUCAAAGUAUCAAAAUUCUUUCAAAAUAUUAACCAAAAUAUACUAAGAUUAGGGUAAAAUAUAUAAUAUAAAAUCUACUCAUCAAAAUACCCCUAAACUUAGCUUUUUGUUUGUCCUCAAGCAAAACAAAACUAGAAAACAAAAAUAAAAACUUAACAAACUAAACAACUAGCUAAAAUUAGCUAACAAAAAUUUUCACCUUCAAAGUUGCAGUCCAUAGCAAAUUUUAAAAACUAGAACAUAUUUUCAAAAGUUCCAACCAAUCCCACCACAGAGUCUAAGCCAUUUAGAAUCAAUUAGAAAAUAAUUCACAAACUUCCCUUGGUGUAAAGUGAACCAACAUAGUUAAGGAGACUCGACUAAAACCCUUACCUCUCGUCCUUCUUUAUUUCACACAUACUAACUUUAAAUAUAACUAUUUUUCAUUUUCUUUUUCUCUUCAAUUUUUUCUCUUUCUUUUUUUUUCAUAUAUAACAAUUUUUUUUUCAGUAACAGUAGUGGUCGUGCAAUGUCGGUUCACUUAAGAUUUUGAUCCAACCCAUGUAGCGAGCUUUAGGUCAAUGACUCCCAAACCACUAGGGUUUUAGGGCACUAGGUGUAGAACACCCCUAAGUACUUAUUAACCCGAGCUAAAAAGGCUACGAAACUAACUAACCACUCUGCCCCAUGCCAAAACUUUAACGUUUGACGCGAGAAUCACUGCUGAUUAGGCAAAACUGGCCUGGUUACUAGGCAAACCUUCGGGUGAGACAAUUAUUACUUUAUAACACAAUAAUAACUGACUUUACUUAAAACAAAAAUUAAAAAUAAACUUAGACUAAAAGCAAGAGUUUCAAUCUCACUCCCCACAAACCAUGUUGGUGUGAUGUGCAAAGUUCAAAGUAUAAUUCAUGAAUUAGUGUCUAAGCAAAGAUAAAUAGAAAAGACUUUACUAUGGGAUUAACCUUCACCAUGUCCAUUUGUUUUAACGUUUAAAAUAAUCUAUGAAUAUUAACUUCAAAAGAAUGAAAAAUUUUAACUGACAUAAAAAUUAAAAUCCUAAAAUGUUAUUUCCCACCCCCAAACUUAUUUCACACUUUGUCGUCAAGGUGUGGAAAAAUAAAAGAAAAUAAAGCAACAACUUUACAAAGAAAGUUAAAUAAUAAAACGGACACUAACUAAACCUAUGAAUAAUUAACCAAAUAGGACAAAGAAAUGACAAAAACGACAUGACAAGGAACAAAAGAAAUAACAUAAAAAAAAUGAGAAAGGAAUGCACCUGGUAGAAGUGGAAUCCAUUGUGGCCUGACAAACUGUGGGCCUGGGAAGGAUGACACACGAAGAUAACUCAAAAUCAUUUGGAAUGAAGCCC